ACACCAACUAAACCAAAUGAAAUAACACCAAAAAAAUAAAAAAUAAACUUGUGGAGUCCAUUAUAUGUUGCUCAACUACUCCUGAACACAAGGCAUUCCCUGAAGUGGUUGAUAUCCCCAGUGUCACUCUACUGGAGAAAACAGAUUUCCCUCUCCCAACAGGUGUAAAGGAGGGUUCAGUUGUUAAUCCUUAUUCUAGUGGUUAGGUUUUUAUUCAUUCACUGAUUCAUUGUUUUAAAAAAAGUAACAAAAUAAAAUGUAAUAAUAUAAAACAAAAUCUAUUAUAUAAGACAACAGAAGAAAAAGAGCCCAAAAAAAGGCAUAAGAAUCAGAGACCCACUAAACUGUUUCUCUUCAGAUUGUAUAAAUCUUUUGCCUCUCACAUUAAGUAUCUUUAAAAUACUGUUUAUCACUAUUUAGUUUUAUUAUUCAAAUAACAUUUGAUUGAGGUGGCUGAUUAUAUAUACUAAGCCAAUGUUUUGAAAUAUUCUUUGUCAGUAAGGUUGUUAAAAUGAGGUCUCAGUUUAAGAUUCUUGAUUUUUUUUCCCUCUGUCUUCUCCGCACGAGGCUGUGAAAUGUCAUCAGAACUGUCCUAUGUAGUCCACUUUGAGGAACGUUCGAACUUCAGAGAGUAACCAAAGCUUCCAGAAUAAACAAGGACCUCCACUACAGAAGUGACUCCCACAAGAAGUGACUCCCACAAGAAGAAGUGACUCCCACAAGAAGUGACUCCCACAAGAAGAAGUGACUCCCACAAGAAGUGACUCCCACAAGUUGUCCUCUAACUUCAAGACAUCUCCUGGGCACAAACCUGUCCCUCUGCCUCAGAGACAUAUGUAAAUGAGAUGUAAUUUUAAAAAUUAUUUCUCCUCAUCUAUAAUACUCCUAGCAGUUAGAGAAGCUCCUUCCCAAGGUCAAGAGGCAUCAGUGAUCUACUCCAUCCUUCAUAAGGAAAAGGAACUUGAUCUUGGAAGAAGGAGCUGAGAUACAAGAAAUUUCCCAUUGAAUACAGUGACCCUGGUGAAGCGUCUUCAUAGGGCAAGCUUCCCCAUAGCCAUUAAUGCCGUCUUUACAGUAACAACUCAGGUUUCUCCUCUUGACCACCAUAUUUACUCUCCACUUAUCUUUACAUGUGAGUGUUUCUGCCGUGGAUAUCCGAACCAAGUCCCUCAGAAAGUGGUAAAUCAUUAAGUCAGUGAAAUUCAAGACAGAAGAAUGAUCACCAUAUUAAAAUGAAAAGCUGAACUACUCAGAGCAGCAAGAGACACGCUGAUCUUUUGGAAGAGGAAGGUCAUUUUCCCUCUACUACCUAUUAGCCGAUGAAAUCAUAAAAUCAUUUUCAAGACUGAAAAAUUGAAGCUGUAAGUACCUUCCCCCACCCCUGGAAUCUACUCAUGAUAUCACAUGAUUACAGAUUCACAGAUGGAAUAUACCUAUUAAGCCUUGCCAGUCACACAGCAGGUGUUGAGUAAGCCCCGGGAAUGACUCCCUUGGCACUGCGGCCCUGAUUCCACACUGCAGAGUACCUUCAUUGAAGUAAAGCAAGAAGGACGCAGCUUUUGAGAUACUGGCUCAUCAAAGACCAUUCAUCUCAGUUCUACUGAAAAUAAUGAUGCUCAAGACACAACAGGGCUGGGUCCAGAAAAGGGUUGAGGACACACAAAAUUCCCUUUGUAUAAAGGGAAAGGCACAAAAUGUCUUAAUUAAAACACUGUGAUAUUUAGAAAGCACUUUCUAUUACACAACAGAUUGCCCAGGACAUCAAAUGGUUUUGUGAAACACGGAACAAUUUGAUCACACGAUCAUUAAUGCAUUGCAAAUUGAUUUUGUUUCAGUUCCUUUUGAUUCCUUUUAAAGUAAACUGACUCAGUGUCCGGCUGUCAAGACUCACUCUAAGGCACCAUAUGGUUUGAAUAUUUUAUUCUGGGUUUUUCUUAGACCUGUAAAACUAAUUAGAGAAUAAAAGAUGGGAAAACUUUUGUAGUGGAUUUUAUAUUAGAUUUGCACAUUAAUUUUAAUGAUAAUUGAUUUCAAAACACUAUCAAGUACAGUACUCCAGGUAGAAUGGUGAGGGCGGACCGUAGUACAGAAAGUUGAACAUCUAAAAGACUAAAUCUGUCCAGCAAUGAUACUGAAGAGACCAGUGAGAUGGCAUAGUUGGUAAAGUUCCCUGUCACCAAACCUUAUAAUUUGAGAAAACUGACUCCCAA
rnacentral:sRNA from 1 species